CUGCAGUCAAUUAAACUGACCAUGCUUCUUUCCCAGGGUGCAAUGAUUGCAGACAGUAGCCACCUUGGUAGUGUAUGCAGCCUACUGACUGUAUGGGCUGCCCUAAGGGAUCUUGGAAACAGCC
rnacentral:snoRNA from 1 species